CUCUGUGCCGCCUACGCCGGAUGCACAGCCGGCCCUCUCCGCGCCCACGCACCCACGUGAGCGCCCCGCCGGCCACAUUCCUACUUCCCCCACCACCCCUACUCCUCUGAGCUGAGAGCGCAGUUUCACCACCAGGCAUGGGUACACAAAGACAGAGAAGCGAACUACGUGCACGCGCGUCUAAACAACUACGUGGACGCCGCUACCCACACUCCGGCCUCGCUGAGCUGCUGCUCCUGUGAACGUUAGGAGCGAGCGGGGAAAAGUUAGCGAAGGCCCGGGGAGCGCUGCUCCUGUGCGCGUAUCUGACUGCCUUAGAGUGUGAACUUGUGACACCUGUGAGUGUGGGGCUCUGCAGAAAUCCUUGAUAUCCCGUCGCCCUCCGUCAGACCCAUAAGGAGAAGUUUGAGGAAGCUGCUCUUUGAAACCCAGGCCUCCUCAUCCCUGCAUGGAGUCGUCGCCGAAGUUUUGGAAAAUAGGGAUGGGCCAGUUGUGCUAGAAGGCACCAUUUAGGCGCUUGUUGAUUGGCCGCGUGGGGUUUUGUUCGCAUAGGUUUGUAUCGGGGCUCUAUGUGUGGAUUUAAAAAUAUAUACAUUUAAAAAAUCAUUGACUUGUCAGGCCCGCCAGAGGCCCAGAGCGCCCCCGCAGCCCGCAGCCAGAGCUGCUGAGAGGAAGGGAAACUAUCCUUGACCCUAGUUCUCCAGGAGAAGGGGGGAAAGAUUGGGAAGAAAGGGAAAAAAGUGGGUGGAAGAGGAGUGAAGAUCUGCAAACCAGAAGGAUUGUUCCUGGGCACGUGUAGAUUUUCGUCUAACAGAUUGCUUUGCUUACCCCUCCCUAGAUGUUUUUACCGUGCCGAAUGUGGCUCACUCAGCAAGGUUCUUCUCAAACUCACCUACCUGGACCCGAUCUUUCUAGACCCUUUCCUGUCCUCCGUGGCCUCAUGGGUCUUUGUACACCACUUCAGUUAGUUGCUUGUUUCACCCUCAGCUCGGGACCUCUCCAUGGUAGGCCUGAUACCUGGUGGGUCUUCUUAAAUGAAUGAAUGGAGGAUGCUGUUUACACGUCAGAGCAAUUUUGAAAAGGGAAAUAAAUACAGAUUUCACUCCAAAAGUAACUGAGCCUGGACAAAACUGUUUCGGUGAAGAUACUUGUUUUCCAUGUUCCUUUUCCUUCUUGUUUCCACUGAGACCAUAAUCUGGCUCAUUGGCAUUCUGAAAUGUCCACUACUCUUGUAAAUUAUUUCACACCCAAAUGUUAUAGUUAGAAGGCUAAAAUCCUUGCUGGUAAUAGAAAAACAGGAAUAUAUAUAGUAAUGAUCUUGUUUUCCUCCCCUCUUUUAAUAAUUGUCUAGGAAGACUGAAUAUUUGAAUAUUUUAAUUGCCCUUCAAUUUAGUUAUUUUAUAAGAAUUGCUUCACCGAGCAAAGAUAAUUCUGACCUCUGUGUACGAGAACUCAUAGAUUAGUAGGAGGGCUAGCCGUAUAAACAGUUACAUCAUGAAGCAAUAAUAGGGCUACAAACAAAAGUAAAAAGGCUUGAGUGAUCUGUUCUAUCUGUGGUUGUAAGGGGCUGGUUUGGACAGGCAUCUAAGGGAGGUGAUGAGGCAGCCCAGUUUUGAAGCCUGAAUAGAAGAUUUCUGGGAAGAGAGGAAGUCAAGUCAGAGAGACCAGAAUGUAUACUUGCUUGGGGAUACAGAACUAGAAAUUGUUCAUUGUUGCUGGGUGGUUUAUGGGUACGGGUGGUUAGAAAUGACACUUGGGAGGUGUACAGGGCUGUUACAUUGAGGCCAUUACACAGCAUCUCAAGUUGUGGUGAAGGACCAGGCCAAUUAAAAGGAAAAAUCCCACCUGGCAUGGUGAUGCUCACCUUAAAUCCCACUUCUCGGGAAGCUGAGGCAAGAGGACUGCUGUGAGUUGGAGUCCAACCUGAACUACAAAGCAAGACCCUGUUUGAAAAAAAGUGCAGAAUAUUAUUGUCCACUACUUUGUUGUUGUUGUUUUUGCAGUACGGGGGAUCAAACUCAGGACCUUGUGCUUGCAAGGCAGGUCCAGUGCCACUGAGCUAUAUCCCUGGCCCCAUCCACUACUUUUAUGAAAUACACUAAAAGUGAAUUUGAGAAAUGAAGUAAACCAUUUUAUUAGGUUCAAUAAAUAUAAAUUUAUCUAAAAUUAGAACUAAAUUUUCUAAAUCCUUAUACACUUAAUUUGGAGAUUGUUUCAUUGAAGGCUAGUAUCACACAAAGCAUCAAAUAGUAUCAGACUUUCAAUAGUGCUGUUACAAUGUUUAUAUCUAUGUUUUAGGUCAUACUAAGAAUCCUGGGCUUGAUCAUGUAGAUACUCUUAGAAUCUUAAAGACUAAUAUGGGAGUGACAGGGUCAGAUCUGCAUUUAGGAGCAGAGUGGAGGAAGGAUUUGUAGACGGUGUAAACAACAGAGAGUCCAGAUUAAGGAAAUUAAAAGACCUUGAACCUUACCAGCUAGGUGCUGGGCAAAGUCAGUGGUAUGGGAUGCAGAGGAAAGGAUAGA
ensembl:lncRNA